rnacentral:rRNA from 1 species
GACAGUUCGGUCCCUAUCUGUUGUGGGCGUUAGAAAUUUGAGAGGACCUGCCUCUAGUACGAGAGGACCGGGGUGGACGAACCUCUAGUGUACCUGUUGUGGCGCCAGCUGCAUCGCAGGGUAGCUACGUUCGGAUGAGAUAAGCGCUGAAAGCAUCUAAGCACGAAACUCACCUCAAGAUGAGAUUUCUUUUAAGGG